AGUUACAUGAUUAAUGAAAGCUCAGUUCUUGAUGCUCACUUUGUGGGACUUAAAAAGAUAGCAUGAUGAGGUCAUAGCGACGAACCAGCGGCGACGGCUUAGGAGAAGAGAAGAGGAGCACACCAAAGAAGAGGGAGCAUGUAGUCCACAACCAACAAUCAUUGCAGGUGUUAGUGCCACCUAUGUUCUGUAUUAUAUUUAUGACUAUAUUAGUUUUAGAUGGACCACCUGUUGUAUCUAUCUAUGUUGCAAUCUAUGAUGGGUGGCUAACUGGGAUCUCACGGUUUAAACCCAAUAA